rnacentral:rRNA from 1 species
UACGGGGGGAGCAAACGUUGUUCGGAAUCACUGGGCGUAAAGGGCGUGUAGGCGGCUGAAUAAGUGGGAUGUUAAAUCCCCCGGCUCAACCGGGGACCUGCAUCUCAUACUGUUCAGCUCGAGCACAUCAGAGGAGACUGGAAUUCCCGGUGUAGCGGUGAAAUGCGUAGAUAUCGUAAGGAAGACCAGUGGCGAAGGCGAGUCUCUGGACAGUUACUGACACUGAGGCACGAAGGCCAGGGGAGCAAACGGG